GUGUAACAACCACCGGAAGUAAACAGAAGAAAGGCCCCAGUCGGUGUCGCUGCAUGAAUACUCCAACUUAACAUUAACAGAUUUGUCACAUCAGUUAAACCUCGACUCACAUUAAUUGUAUGUACAAAACAAUGUCUUCAGCUGAGGGUUUGAGAGAGUUUGUCAACGAGCGACUAACUGCCGCUGCUGAAGAAAUAUUCGGAGCUUUUAAAAAAACUAUCUUCGAGUACGAGGAAGAGAUCGACCGUCAGCGCAGACUGCUGGAUGCCGUUUUGAAACGUGAAAUAAAGUUACACAGAAUAGAGGUCCUGCAGCAGAAUGUCUGUACAGAGGAGGAGGUUCUCACUGACCAGCAGUUUGGAAACCAUGAGAGCAGCUCCAGUGUGGACCAAGAGGAUCCAGAGCCUCCAAAGAUUAAAGAGGAACAGGAGGAAGUCUGCACCAAUCUGGAGGGAGAGCAGCUUGUAGUGAAGCUGGAGACAGAUACUUUCAUGUUGAUUCCUCCUUAUGAAGAAAGUGACCACCAGCUCCUCUCUGAGAACUCUCAUGUAGCUGAGAGUCAAGACGGAAAAGAAGUUGAGCAUGAAGACUCAAGAUUAACUAGAGAUACGGAGUCAGAACAAAUGGAAAUAUUUCCAAAUAGUGGAAGUAACAGUAAUGACGUGUACAACCCUAACUGGGCAGACAUUCGUAAUUCUCACAUUGUUAAAAAGUCUUUCAUAUGUGACACGUGUGGAAAGGCCUUUAACUGUAAGUCCAAACUGAGUGUACACAUGAGAACCCACACAGGUGAGAAGCCAUAUUCUUGCGACACCUGCGGGAGAAGAUUCAGUCGGACAUCAGACUUAAACAUACAUAUAAGGACCCACACAGGCGAGAAGCCGUAUACUUGCAAAAUAUGCGGCAAAGGUUUCAAACAAAGCAGCGCCUUGUGGGUCCACGUUAGAACACACACAGGUGAGAAACCGUACCUUUGUAAAAUAUGUGGGAAAGAUUUCUCACGCAAUGAUUGCUUGACAAUCCAUAUGAGAAGAGCCCACACCGGUGAGAAACCGUAUAUCUGCAACUUCUGUGGGAAAGGGUUUGUUAUUAGGUCUGACUUGUCAAGCCAUAUUAGGUUGCAUACAGGCAAGUGGCCAUGAAUCUUUCAAAACACAUUGUAGAUGAUUCAGUUCUAGUGGUUCCUGGGCAAAAUUCGCUGAGGAACUUUAAAAAAAGCAAAGCUACAUAAUCACAUAAUUAAAAGAACACUUGAAAAUCAACAAAAAGUUAAGCAGAGGUCUUAAACCGUUGAACUAUUUUAAUACACUAAAGUUAAACAAGUGGACUGUGAACUCUCUGAAGCUGAGAUGCUGCGUCACACAUGUUGUCACCCUGCAUACAAGUCUUUUUUUCUUUUCUGCAGCAUGUUAGUUUAUUUAGUACUUUUAUGCAUUUUCUUAUUGGUUCAACUUGACAUACUUAAGAGUUGGAGGACAAACACAAACUGUAAAUGGUGUGCAGCAUGGUGUUCUUAUGUUUAUUUUUUUUUAUUUCAUGUGUUUAUUCUAACAAAAAAAGCUGUGUAAGGUGAUAAUGUAACAAUACCAGAGUCACAAGGAAGUCUAAAGCUAUCUAUCUUCUAUCUGCUUUAAACUUCAAUUAAAAAAUAAACAAAUCUGAGCUUGAUGUCUUUAAGCGUUAAGGAGGUUGAUUUUAAGUCAUCUACAUGUAAGUAACUACAUACAAGGCAAAUGUUACCUUCUUUCAGCCUCCCAACCUGAGAAGUCCAGGUGCCUCUUAGGUGUGUGCAGUGUGGAAAACCAAAAGUGUCAUCGUCAUAAUUUCAAGUAACCUACUGUUAAAACAAUGUGAUCUGCUUUGAAAUCUCAAUGAUUAUGAAGUCUAUAGUUGAUAAACAUUUGAGUCAUUAGACUUUGUAUCGUUUUUCUUGUGAGAUUACAAUUAUAGCUCAAAAUAUCUCUAUUAACAUGGCGAUAAUUAAGGUUGUUAUAAAGACUGCUGUUACCACUCAACCAACAAUAUGACCUCAGAUUCAGAAGGAUAACACAGUGAAACCUCUUGCUGAUCAGGAAGAAGUGGUCUACAAACACACAUGAAUUCAAGGGAAAUUAUUGAAUGUUAUUUAAGUAAAGUGCCAGAGUUCACACUUCUUUGUGAACUCUGGGCCAUGACAGAAGAGGUGGAAUUGGUUCCAGUUCCAAUUGGACAGUUUAUCCGAUAUCAGAUAUUCUGCAAUAAACCUUCUUGACUUUUGCAGUUUGUCCUGGAGAUGAUGUCCUGGUGUGUAUACAUUUUUUAUAUAUAUAUAUUUUUUUAUAUUAUUUGAUCACUGAACAUUAGUAUUUCUUCUCCAAAAUCUUUUGAAAGUAUUUGUUGCCCAGUGACUAUACAAUUCCUACAAAUCUUACUUACAAUUUUUAAUCAUUACUUGAGUCAUUUGAGUGGAUUUUGAACACUGAUGUUGAAGUUGAGAAAACCUUUGUGUUGUGCACAACAGGGUUCUUUCGUAGAAUUAUGUAAUUAACACUUUAAAUAUAACACAUUUUCUGCUGCCGCUAAAGUGAAAGAACUGGUUUGAAAUGCCGGUGCCUUAAUUUGCCUAAUUCAUUUUCGAAGUGAUGUGACUGUGAAAUAAACGUCCAACAAAAUAAGUGAAAUUUCUUUGUGAAAUAGUUGUCAAUAAGUUUAAAGAAAAUGAAGACACCAGGUUAAAUAUUUGGCGAGUUGAAUACAGUAUACAUUUUCCACUUCCAAAUUAAAAUAUCAACAAUUGUGUAAGAAAAAAUAUAUACGGCUAUAAUGAUACAAGGAUAACUAGUUGCAGAUGCAAAGGAUAAGAAUAAACAAACGAGGGCUGUGACGAUGCCAAGAAACAUUUAGCGGAACCACAAGAAUACAUUCCACCGUCGGAACUAACAGUGUAACACCAAGCGGAAGUGAACCGUGGGCGCUAGGCGCUUCACCUGUACAAAUAAACUGAGUGAACUCCAAGAAGUUGUCUGUCAUUAUACUGAAGGUAAUUAAAUGAACAUGUCUUCAGCUGAGUGUUUGAGACAGUUUGUCAGCGAGCGACUAACUUCUGCUGCAGAAGAAAUAUUCAGAGUUUUUAUUCAAACUGUCGUCGAGUACGAAGAAGAGAUCGACCGUCAGCGCAGACUGCUGGAUGCCGUUUUGAAACCUGAAGUCAAGUUACAAAGGAUAACUGGAAGAGCUUGUCCUGUAGCAGAGCCAGGAUGAUGGUGUCUAGGCUGAGCGCCUACAGGUUCCUGGCAAAGGUUCUUCAGGAGUCCAGGGGCCAAAUGUAUAAACCAUACGGACACACGAUAACUGAUAAAUGUGUGUACUGGUACACAUCUUUAACACCAUGCAUGCAGUGUCUCCAGUCUGAUUAGUGUGAUGAUGAAGUUGGCAAAGGGAAAAAAAGAGCUCCAACAGCAACAUGUUCAUAGGGAGCAGGAAGUUCUCACUGACCAGCAGCUCUGUAUCCAGGAAAGAAACUCCAGUGUAGACCAAGAGGACCCAGAGCCUCCACAGAUUAAAGAGGAACAGGAGGAAGUCUGCAAUAGUCAGGAUGGAGAGCAGCUUGUAGUGAAGCUUGAGACUGAUACCUUUAUGUUAACUCCUGAAAUUGACCAGCUGCUCCUUUCUGACAACUCUCAUGUAGCUGAGAGCCAAGCAGGCAAGCAUGGAGACUCAGGAUCAAGUCCUACAUAUGAGGAAAGUGACCACCAGCUCUUACGUAACAACACUCAUGUCACUGCGAGUCAAGAUCAGAAUGAAGGCAAGCACAGAGACUUUGGAUCAACUAAGAAUGCAGAGACAAACCCAAAUGAAAGCCAUUGCAGCAUUAAAAGUCACAUUAAUAGUGUAAGCAACACUAACUUGUCUAAGAUUGAUUUGAGAUUGAAUGCUUACACGGGCAAAUCGUCUUUCAAAUGUCACACAUGUGGAAAAGUAUUUAGGUUUAAUUCCAAUUUGAUUGUUCACCAGAGAAUCCACACAGGUGAGAGGCCGUUUGUUUGCGAAAUAUGUGGGAACGAUUUUGCGCGUAAUGAUUCCCUGCAAAUCCACAUGAGAAGAGCCCACACUGGUGAGAGACCAUACAUUUGUAACAUCUGUGGGAAAAGGUACUUUGAUGGUUCUCAUUUGGCAAAGCAUAGAAGAUCUCAUACAGACAGUUCAGCGUCAUCAUGGCAAUGAUGGUGUGCAGAAUAGUCACAUCACCAGACAUGUUUUGGGGUUUUUUGGUGCUUUAUACAAAAAUAAAAUCCAUGAAUAAUUGUCAAAAGAGAUCUGUGGUAGAGAAUGCUAUACUUGGAUUUAAGGAUUUUUGUUCCUAGU